AUUUAUUUUAUAUUUUUAUUUCUAUAUAUAUAUAUCAAACAAUAUUCAAAGUUUUUCAUGAUCCCAUACAAUCCAACAGUGAAAUAAUCUGCAUUGUUAUCUUCUCUAUGAAUAACUCUUGUAAAUACAAGCCUUAAUAUGCAUGAACGUUUUAAUUUCCAAACAAAUUACUUUUAAAAAACUAUUUCUUUAAACCCAAACCAUUCAAAAGAGUAAAUAUCCAGUUCCUGAAGCCUUCAGUUCCUCCUAUUUGGAUGAAAAGAUGGACGUUCAUUGUAUUUUACAUUCACUAAAAUGAUAACAGCGUAUGGUGCCACUGCACAAAUAUCCUUCCUUAAACUCGAAGGGCCUAAACAGAAUUGGUGUCACUCAUGGCAGAGCACGUUGGCCUGGGAUGCAUCCUCCUCAUGGAGGAAAGUGGGGGCACCAAGGGUUUCUGCAGGAGGAGCCCUCUGUGGAGUGGCCUCCCGGUUCAGGUCAAAAACUGUUUGCCUCAGUUUUGGGGCCCUGCUGAGUUACAGCCUCUAAAGCACUUAGCAGUGCUUGUCUCAGCAGCAGCACACACCAUAUGCUUUGGGAGCAUUUCCAAGCGGAAUAUUAUCCUCACUGCACUCCAGCAUGCUCGUUAAUGCUCCCAUUAUUCCAUUCGGUGGGACUAAUCCAAAGGCCCCCGAAGUUGUCAAAGCUGUCUUUAAGGUACUCCGGAUAAAACCUUGGGUUGCGCGAUUUAAGUCAUACUGAUGGAAUCAUUCUCAAAUCAUCAAUGAUAGUUUAUAUGCUGGUUUCUUUAUCUGAGCUACCUGUUCUCCUCCAUCUUUUGAAAAACAGUGAUGUGAAAUGGAAGAAGGAACAGAAGGGUUUGAAAUGCUGCUAUUUCUCUCUCUUUUUCUUUUUUCCCAGAGAGGGAAUGGAUUGCACAUAGAAAAGCAAUGUGCAACCAGCAACCGUACAAUGCUGGUUCAAAUUCAGAUGUAUGUACUGAUCAAGAUCUUUCCCCAAAUGUGUGAUCAGUUCAUGGGAAAGACCGGAGAUUUUAAAGUUGAUAUGGAUAAAGGAAAUGCUGGAUUAAGCUACUGUAGUUCUCUGUCAGUCCUGGUCGCUCCUUAUUGCUUUCUGGUCACAAAACACGUUUAAUAGAAAAAAUAUAUAUAUUGCAAAAUAACCUAUUACAUUUAAGAGGAGAAAAAUUGGACUUUGCCAGGAAGAAACCCUCCUCAGAUCCCAAUAUUUUACCAGCUGAUAGUAUUUCUUUACAUGCUGGAAAUUUUUCUUUUCAUUCCCAUUCAUUUUAACAGCGGGUUUUAAUUUUUCUUUUGGUAAAAACCAAAAAAAAAAAAAAAAAAGGAUGGGUGUGUGGGGACUGAGGGAGAAUGAAACGACAAACUGAGCAGAAGGAAGAUACUAUUUCAAAUGAGUGUUGUUCUGGUGGUGGGAGGGAGGCUAAGACCAAACAAGAAAGAAUGGCUGCGGAGGAUCUACUCGGGAUUCCACUGAUGUGCUAACAGCUGUUAUUACAGUAUCUGGCAUUUUGAAUUAAAUAUUGAUAGAAAUAAAUGAAAAAAGAGAUUGAGUAAACUGAAAUGUGUGUUCUGCCUUCCUAAGAGUACCAGACUCAACACCCUUUUAUACAAUUAAUAGCAUUAAACACCGGCAUCAGCUGACAGGAAAUAAGAAAGUUCCUAUGGCAACUAAAAAUAAGCACAGGAGGAAAAAUGCAUCAGAUGCUGUCAGCAGACAGCAUAAAAGGCAAAUAUAUGGAGAUAACAGCACAAAAGAAUAUACCUGUCUCGUAAACAACAUACAUGCUUGGAUGGCUUGUUUUUGUUGCUUUCUUCCAAACUAGGAACACUGCACCUUACUUAGAGAAUCUACUUAUGAACAGCUAAAUCACCUUGCAGACUGAGGCUCCUGGUUUAUGUGCUGUGCAACGUGCAAGCAGAGGCAAGGUGAGUGCACAGCUGUACUGCUGAGGGUACAGCUUAGCCACGUGUAAGCUGUCAUCUCAGUGGGAGAAAGAGUUUUAAGACCAUGUAACUCUUGAACUUCUUGGAUUACCUGCUUUUCCCAUCUAUCUGGUUUCUCCUACCUCUACUUCUCUCACAAGAAGCAAAGCCAAGCCUGCCCCACACCUGUGUGAUGUGGAGAAAGCUGCAUCAUUUUCCCUUCGCUCUUCGUGCUCUCAAGUUUCAAUUGCUCCUGCAGACCCUUCUGGGCUCUCUCUUCUGAGACAUCUUGGCCGUAAAGUACCUCUACAGACAUAAAAUCAUUUUUUUCUGUGUGAAGAUGUUGCUAUUUUCACAGUAAAAUACUCCUGCUGUGCAGUGCUGCACCUCCACACAGGACCCUUGUCACAGUGGCUGUGCCCUUGUGGCUCUGUCUGAUGCUUCAGAGGCAAGCCCGCAGCUCCCCAUGUCCUGGCCAGCUCAGGAAACUUGGCUGCUGAGCAGGAGAAGACAGCCCCACACACAGCAAAGCCUGAGAACUGUUUACAAAAUAGUCCACAGAUCUCCUGGCAGACUCCGAAGCAAAACACAGUCCCCAGCCAAAGUCUGUGUUUUGGAAACUGUUUCUUUGGUAAGUAGAACUUCAUUU
ensembl:lncRNA